rnacentral:rRNA from 1 species
GGAUUAGAUACCCUGGUAGUCCACGCCGUAAACGAUGAUAACUAGCUGUCCGGGCACUUGGUGCUUGGGUGGCGCAGCUAACGCAUUAAGUUAUCCGCCUGGGGAGUACGGCCGCAAGGUUAAAACUCAAAGGAAUUGACGGGGGCCUGCACAAGCGGUGGAGCAUGUGGUUUAAUUCGAAGCAACGCGCAGAACCUUACCAGCGUUUGACAUGUCCGGACGAUUUCCAGAGAUGGAUCUCUUCCCUUCGGGGACUGGAACACAGGUGCUGCAUGGCUGUCGUCAGCUCGUGCCG